GAUGAACGCUGGCGGCGUGCCUAAUACAUGCAAGUCGAGCGAACGGACGAGAAGCUUGCUGCUCUGAUGUUAGCGGCGGACGGGUGAGUAACACGUGGAUAACCUACCUAUAAGACUGGGAUAACUUCGGGAAACCGGAGCUAAUACCGGAUAAUAUUUUGAACCGCAUGGUUCAAAAGUGAAAGACGGUCUUGCUGUCACUUAUAGAUGGAUCCGCGCUGCAUUAGCUAGUUGGUAAGGUAACGGCUUACCAAGGCAACGAUGCAUAGCCGACCUGAGAGGGUGGUCGGCCACACUGGAACUUAGACACGGUCCAGAGUCCUACGGGAGGCAGCAGUAGGGAAUCUUCCGCAAUGGGCGAAAGCCUGACGGAGCAAGGCCGCGUGAGUGAUGAAGGUCUUCGGAUCGUAAAACUCUGUUAUUAGGGGAGAACAUAUGUGUAAGUAACUGUGCACAUCUUGACGGUACCUAAUCAGAAAGCCACGGCUAACUACGUG
rnacentral:rRNA from 1 species